rnacentral:sRNA from 1 species
GAAGAUUGCCCACGUCUCUGCAGGCGAACCUGCCUGCCACCCCUUUCCAGAUUCCGUAAGGAGUGUGCCGACCCUGAGAACCAUAAGGUCCGCCAGAAACUGAAGGCCAAGGAGUGGGAUGAGUUCCUGGCUAAGGGGAAGCGCUUUCGCGUCCUGCAACCUGUGAAGAUCGGCUGCGUGUGGGCGGCUGACAGAGACUGCGCAGGCGAUGACCUGAAGGUACUGCAGCAGUUCGCAGCCUGCUUCCUGGAGACCCUGCCCGCCCAGGAGGAGCAGACGCCUAAGGCCUCCAAGCGGGAGAGGAGAGACGAGCAGAUCCUGGCCCAGCUGCUGCCGCUCCUGCACGGCAACGUGAACGGGAGCAAGGUCAUCAUCCGGGAGUUCCAGGAGCACUGCCGCCGGGGACUGCUCAGCAACCACACCGGCAGCCCGCGGAGCCCCUCCACCACCUACCUGCACACCCCCACCCCCAGCGAGGAUGCCACCAUCCCCUCCAAGUCCCGACUCAAGCGGCUCAUUUCCGAGAACUCAGUGUACGAGAAGCGGCCCGACUUCAGGAUGUGC